UUAUGUUUGAGUUUCAUUUCUUCGUUUUCAUUGAUGGUACUUCUAACCUUACACCUCCGUGUCUUGAAUGAUUAGGGCAUUGUUUUCCUUCUUCUCACAAUUGCCAAAACCAGUCAACCACGGGCAUUGUUUUCCUUCUUCUCACAAUUGCCAAAACCAGUCAACCACGUUUCACAUUUUUGGGAUGUAAGGAUUGUAGAUGUUGAUGGUGUGUUUGGAUUUUUCUUUUGGAACAAAUUAUGUAGUUAGAGAUUAAAAAAAAGGUAGCUGCGUAUCAUGCUCGUGUUGUUGUUCCUACGAAUUCUCAUAAACACUCUUCACUAGAAGCAUGAAAGUAGAAAUUGGUUAGUUUUCUUCAAUAUAUGUUCUGGUUUAUAUGAUGUGGGUUUAAAGUUAAUGACAUAUGUGUUUUCAGAUGUCGUAUUUUUGACAUGUCGGCUUACUGGUACACCCCGUUAAUUCCACCAUCUGGUAACCAUGUAUAUUUUGCAACUUAUUUACCCUAAUAUACACCUUUAUCAAAGAUCAACAUUUUAUUGUAUCAUCAUAUUUGGAAUUAUAUGCCUCAAAACCUAUCACCUUUUCCAACUGAAGUUAUUGAGAGACACCAUUUACAGUUACAUAUCUCAUUUUAUUAUUUCAUGAUUAUUAUAAAGCCUUUAGAUAAUGACAUCUUUAUUUCUAAAUGAUUUAUUUAGUAUUUGAUCUUUAUCUCUGUAAUUGCAGGUGGCUUUAAGGUACAUUUGUCUAUGUUUAUUGCAGAACUAACCAAGGAGCUACGCAUGCAAUUAUUCGAUUUGUUGUAGAUUUCGAAAGGAUCCUUAGCCCGUAGUAUCUGAAUGUGGAAAGGAUUUUUUUUAAGUGUGUCAAAAAAGGAUGGGUUGAUCUGAUUAAUGUAUUUGAUUUGUUUUUUUAGCUUAACCGUUGACCCAUUAUAGAUCGACCCAUUUGUGUAAAAGUGGGUCAAAUUACCACCACCACUGAGUUUUGUUUUCUUUUAGAUUAGGAGCAUUAGUAGUCAUUUCAUGUAUAAUCUCGAUUCACUGUAGCAAUAUGGAAGAAAUAUCCAACCAUGAAGUCACUCAUGAGUAUCUACAUGGAUCCAACCAGAUGAGUGAAUGGUAACGUUGAAUAGGAAUUUGGUGAUUUGGAGAUGGGUCUUCGGACGGCAGGUUUUUCUCGGAAUUGGAGAUGGUGGGUUUGGCC